CUGGUCUUGACAUCCACGGAAGUUUUCAGAGAUGAGAAUGUGCCUUCGGGAACCGUGAGACAGGUGCUGCAUGGCUGUCGUCAGCUCGUGUUGUGAAAUGUUGGGUUAAGUCCCGCAACGAGCGCAACCCUUAUCCUUUGUUGCCAGCGGUCCGGCCGGGAACUCAAAGGAGACUGCCAGUGAUAAACUGGAGGAAGGUGGGGAUGACGUCAAGUCAUCAUGGCCCUUACGACCAGGGCUACACACGUGCUACAAUGGCGCAUACAAAGAGAAGCGACCUCGCGAGAGCAAGCGGACCUCAUAAAGUGCGUCUUAGUCUCGGAUUGGAGUGCUGCAACUCGACCUCACAUGAAGUCUGGAAUCGCUAGUAAUCGCGGAUCAGAA
rnacentral:rRNA from 1 species